rnacentral:misc_RNA from 1 species
CUUAGUGGAAUUAAUGGUGUUCUAUUCUAUUCCAGCACCAUUUUUGAAUCUGCUGGCAUUAGCGAUAGUAAUGCAGCUACCUUUGGGCUUGGUGCCGUUCAGGUUAUUGCUACCGGUGUCACUACAUGGUUAGCUGAUAAGGCAGGCCGCAGGCUUCUACUUAUUGUUUCCUCUUCUGGGAUGACUGUCAGCCUCCUACUGGUUGCAGUAUCGUUUUUUGUACAGGAUUAUGUAUCAGAUGAAUCUACUGUAUAUAACAUUUUGGGGAUCUUAUCAAUAGUUGGAGUAGUGGGGAUGGUAGUUGCCUUCUCUUUGGGUAUUGGACCCAUUCCUUGGAUUAUAAUGUCUGAGAUUCUUCCAAUCAAUAUUAAGGGCCUUGCUGGAAGCGUGGCGACACUUGCCAAUUGGUUCUCUUCAUUUGGGGUUACAAUGACUGCAAACUUGCUUUUGAAUUGGAGCAGUGGAGGAACGUUUACCAUUUACAUGAUCGUCAGUGCAUUCACUAUUGCAUUCACAACUAUUUGGGUUCCUGAGACAAAAGGGAG